GUAUUGAUUGCGUUUUAUUGCAAAAAUGAGGUCAUUCUACACUUUUUUAAAAAGGGGUUUGUGUGAAAACGCAAGCCCCCUCCUGGAUCGAAUCGAUCCCGAAGGGUGCCCACGCGGUGGUGCACAAGAGGGUGAGAUGGAUUAUAUGUGAGAGGACACGCUCUGGCGUGCACGACUUCAAAAGUCAGCGACAGCCCUCGCAUGCCUCACACAUUUUUGUACGAUAAUGAUCCUUCCGCAGGUUCACCUACGGAAA
rnacentral:misc_RNA from 1 species